UUUUUUUUACAGUUAUACAUACAUAGAUACAUACAUACAGUAUUACACAUUAGAGAGUAUCAUAUCCAAAACAAACAAACAGAAAAAAAGACAUAUAUUUAUUAAAUAUUUCCCCACAGUUCUGCUGAUAAGUACAAAUGAAGAAUAUAGGGGGGUGGGGGUUGGCACAGGAAGUGAAGUAAAUUAGCAGCAGCUCUUGCUUCUGCUUUUUUUAGUAAAGCGUGAGAAGUGGAGAGUCAUGGCGCUGCUGCAGUUCACUCUUCUGCUGGUGUUUCUCACUGAAUGCUGUGGGGAAACUCGCUUCAUUUAUAAAACAAAGGAUAAAGAAGAGAAGUUGAGGUGUGAAACAAACAAAUGGCAGAUAAGCACAAAAUCUGACAACAGGAUCGACCUGUGCUGCUCAGUACAGUGUAAGACUGGUAAAACUGUUGAGCUUGAUGAUGAUGAUGAUGAUGAUGAUGAUGAUAUAAAAAAAAUUUGCUCAAAGGAUAAAGUUUCUCGCUCACUGGAAGUGAAGAAGAGUGGAUUUUACUCCUGUGUUAAAUCUCUGGAUCCUGGACGUUUCCUUUUCCCUUUUAAAUCAUCUCCCAACAACGUUAUCCAGUCUUACAUCAUCGCUGUUCAGAACUCAGACUUGACGCUCGAGCCUGAGAGAAGAUCUUCAGUGAAUGUAUCUGAAGGAGGAUCUGUGAUUUUAAACUGCAGUUUCAGAUUCAAACCAGGAUACAAUAAAAAGCCUUUCACUGUUUACUGGAUCAAAACCGUAAAUCAGAGCAGCACCUGCAUUUAUUCCUAUGAUAGAGAUGGGCUUAAUCAUCACUGUGAUGAGCAGAAAAAACUGGGGAAAAGACUCUUAAAUCUAAACACAGGUCAGUUAAAUCACGACAUAAAGAUCAGUGAGGUGAAGAGUUCAGACAGUGGUCAGUACCGCUGUGCUUUACAGAUGGACACAAGUGUUAAAAAGGGAAAAUCUAAAGUAAAGUGGAAGGUGAUAGAAAACGUUACACUCAGAGUCUACAAUCCCACACCUCCUCACUCUACUGACCAACCUGAGACCNUCUGGU
rnacentral:lncRNA from 1 species